rnacentral:rRNA from 1 species
CCGACACAGGUGGUCGGGUAGAGAAUACCAAGGCGCUUGAGAGAACUCGGCUGAAGGAACUAGGCAAAAUGGUACCGUAACUUCGGGAGAAGGUACGCUCCUGUUGGUGAUGAGACUUGCUCUCUAAGCUGACGGGAGUCGCAGAUACCAGGUGGCUGCAACUGUUUAUCAAAAACACAGCACUGUGCAAACUCGCAAGAGGAAGUAUACGGUGUGACGCCUGCCCGGUGCCGGA